GUCCUAUUGUAUUGUUUAUUAGGUCUGGCCUGCCCAGUGAUGUUUUUAACGGCCGCGGUAUAUUGACCGUGCAAAGGUAGCAUAAUCAUUAGUCUUUUAAUAGAAGGCUGGAAUGAAAGGUUUAACGAGAAAUUAACUGUCUCAAUUACAAAUUUGAAUUUAUCUUUUGAGUCAAAAGACUCAAAUUUAAUUGGAGGACGAGAAGACCCUAUAGAGCUUAACAAUUUUUUUUCUAUAUUUAUUUAGUAUAAAAUGAUUUAUUUAUAUUGAUAAAAUUGUUUUGUUGGGGUGACAAUAAAUAUAUAUAUAACUUUUAUCAUAUUAAUUACAUUAAUUUAUGAUUUUUUGGAUCCAGAAUUUUUGAUCAUUAGAUUAAGUUACC
rnacentral:rRNA from 1 species